CAGUAGCCACGGGAAUACGUAGGUGGCAAGCGUUGUCCGGAAUUAUUGGGCGUAAAGGGCUCGCAGGCGGUUUCUUAAGUCUGAUGUGAAAGCCCCCGGCUCAACCGGGGAGGGUCAUUGGAAACUGGGAAACUUGAGUGCAGAAGAGGAGAGUGGAAUUCCACGUGUAGUGGCGAAAUGCGUAGAGAUGUGGAGGAACGCCAGUGGCGAAGGCGACUCUCUGGUCUGUAACUGACGCUGAGGAGCGAAAGCGUGGGGAGCGAACAGGAUUAGAUACCCGUGUAGUCCCUGUCUCUUAUAC
rnacentral:rRNA from 1 species